rnacentral:ribozyme from 13 species
ACAAAAUCAACUUAUAAAAUGAUGAACAAUAUUUCCCCAUCUCUUUUUUGUUCUCUUUCUCCCCCCUCUUCUUUCUUUUUUCCCUUUCUCUUUUCUUUCUUCUG